CAGGGCCAGCAGUGUCUGCCUGAGGGUGGCUUUGCUAUCUCAGGGAAAACAGCCAUGAGAUGGAGGCCAGUGAGCCCCAGAGAACCAUUCUGCACAGGAUGGGAUGUGGUGGGGAAACCACGGGUGGAGGAGGGACUGAGGCUGCCCCUAUGAAACUAGUGGAGCUGGGCUUUGGCCCAGUGCUGAGUUUGACUCAUCCAAUUUGCAAAAGAACUGCUGAGAACACAUCUUUAAAUCUAAAAGCCUGGUUUUUAAGAGUGUCCUUUCAACACAUCUUGGAUUUUACUGCACCCUAAGCAUUGUCAGCAAAAGGGUUUUUUCUUUCUGCAUCUCAGGUAUGAAGGGAAGGGCAGGGGAGGUGAAGAGCUCUGCGGAGACACCGUGGGUGUAUGAAAGCAACCAGCAGGAGAUGAACCAUAGAGCUCAUGAAGGGGCAGAGACUCCAGCAAAAUGGAUGAACCUCCCCAUGGAAACAUCAGGCGUUCCAGAUGCCCUUGAGGCCUGAACAGUUCAUUACCAUCACACCAAGCAUGACUGUGAAUGACCAUCUGCACCCUUGAUUGUAACUUCUGUGUACAAUAAAUACCGUCUGGACAUCACCUGUGCAAAAAUCUCCCCUUUUCUUCCCCUGGAGCUCUUGUCAGCUCCAGGAUGAUAGGAAAUAUCUGUAUCAGUUCCCAGCAACACUUCAGUGGUGCUUGCUUGCAGACAAACUUGUAUUUCCCAAAGAUGGGAAGAAAUACCCAGAAGAAGAAGGUCAGCUGCCUCGGGUACUUCUGGAGAUUAGUACUCAAAUGGCAUCCAGCAGUGAUCAAAAGGAAGCAUGGUUUGGUCCAAGAGAUAAGCAAGGGCAGCCUUUGGAAAAGCAACAUAUUCUGGUGGGCUUGGCCAGCUACCUACAAUAACACCAUCAGCUCAGCUUGUGUUUAUUGAAAUGAAGUAUUACAUGUUAGCUGGAACCAGCAACAAAAGAUGGGUUGGACCAGUGAUAGAAAAUGUGUCAGCUUUUAGCCCAAAAUGCACCAAAUCAUUUUUUUUUUCCCCUGCCCCUAUGUUCACAUAGCCAUCUGAGCUGGGCCCAUGUUGAAUACAUGAAGAACAUCCCUUUGUUAUUUUUUCUCAGCUGUGUAGUGCUCAGAGACAGUUAGUUAAAGCAGGAUGACUUCAUGUCACUGAGUCAUGAGCAAGUCAAACUUUUGCCUACUGCCUGCUUCUUCUGAGGCAUGUUGGGGCUUCUACAGCAGCAUACUUACAUAGGAAUGAUAGGUUGCUUAAUAACAGGGAUUUUGGUGCUGAGCUUUGUAAAAUGUCCCUUACACAGAUUGGGUGUUAAAGUUCUGGAGACAUUGACACUGUUUAUUACAAAACGAAGCUGUAAACACAAGAUUUCCCUGUGAAAGCAUUGUGUAACUACUAGUUAAUUAAGCUUCCCCACCUCUGUUCAGGUGGAUGUGGUUACCUCUGCUCUGCAAAGGACAGAACAGCACAGCAGAGGGUUUGUUGGCUGUUGUAAAUUGCUCCCAUAUCCUCAGGAGAACCAGUGCUGAACCUCCCAAUAAUGGGGGUAGGUUUUUGAAGUGAGCGUAGCUGUAUUUAAUUAGAAGGUUCUUUCUUACUUUAAAACCACAGCUAAAAGGGCCAUGGAAGAGCCCCUUGGACACUUCCAUUGGCUGACAAUAUGGUGAUGCACAUUAGUGACUUGAAAGCGAGCUCUUGCUUUGUGGGGGCUGCUGGAGGAUGUCCUUGGUGCUUCUGUGCAGGUACGGGCACAGUGAGUCUCUCCAACAGCCUGCCAUUUUGGGUUUGGCAGGAUAGCUGCAAGGCUUUCAAAGCCUGAGUGCAGCGAGCAGUGCCUGGGUGGUGUUUCUGAUGGCAUCCAUGAUGUGUCUUCUGGUAGAGGAAUGAAGAGCUACUAACCACUGACCCUUGCAAACCUGCCAGAGGUAAAAAAAUAAUAAUAAUAAAAUAGGAAAGUGCAGCAGAGCAGGGCCACGCUAUUUCUAGCAACUCAGAGCUCUGAUCGAGAGAUGGACAGGUGAGGAUUUCAUUGCACUGGGGCAGGCUGCAGUAUCUUGCAGGUCUGUGUGGUCUGCCUGCUGUGGAGCAGGGUGUGGGGCUGCACGCCAGCAUGCCCAUUAGCGUGCUAACUGUUGCUGUUUAAUCUCCAGCAUCUUGUUUGACGCCUUGGUGUCAUAAUGAUGGCAAUAAUAAAUGGUGUGCUACAAAGCUGUGUGCGUGGACUCGCUUUGUGCUGACGGUGGUGCCUUGCUCCCGGCACAGCUUGGUGCCAGCCUGCUUCCAGCUGAGUCAGUUGGAGCAGGCAAAGCCCCGACUCAACAGCUGGCACCGUUUCAGGGGCCACUGUGCUGGGUGCAGCAGAGCUCAACGCGCCCUUCUGCUCUGAGGGUCCCCAGGGGGCAGCUAUCUCAGAGGUGUGGGUCUCAGCCUCCUGGGACGGCAGGUUUAUUGGGCUUUUGCAGAACUAUUGAAACAGCACAGAGACUGCUUGAGGGUGUGACCUGCGCCAUCUGCUGCUCCUGAGAUGGAGAAGUCCUCAGUUAGGACUGCAGGGUCACACCGGGAGCAGGGCACGUUCCUGCAGUGCUUUGCAUUCCUCUGCAGGGGGUUACUCACACGUCCUGUAACCCAUUAACAUCAACCCAUCGAGUGUUGUGCCGAGGUUACCUCGAUUUGAUCGCCCACAGGAACGUGGUAAUGACUUCUAGAAUGUGUUGCUGAUACAGGUGUAGCCUUAAAUUGUCCUUUUCAAACAUCAGGGGAGCAAACCUCUUACAAUAAGGGCGGUGAGGCACUGGCACGGGCUGCCCAGAGAGGUGGUGGA